rnacentral:lncRNA from 10 species
CGUUGCUAUAGACUGGGAGAGAGGAAGGAGACCUUUAAUACAAUUUAAACUUGGAAUGGAUUGGGUAAGAGCGUUACUGUAGACUAGGAAAGAGGAAGGAGACCUUUAAUACAAUUUAAACUUGGAAUGGAUUGGGUAAGAGUGUUGCUAUAGACUAGGACAGAGGAAGGAGACCUUUCAUACAAUUUAAACUUGGAAUGGAUUGGGUAAGAGCGUUACUGUAGACUAGGAGAGAGGAAGGAGACCUUUAAUACAAUUUAAACUUGGAAAGAUGUUUUCCUUUGAGUGAAGACCACUAAGUGAGGAGGAAGGAGCUUGCAAGCCGCCGGGUCAUGCACCACUACCCAGACAGUGUUGUUGCCUGCCCAGCAGCCAUUUCUCUCAGGUCUUCUCUGCUAGUGCAGCCUCAGUUUUGCUCAGAUACUGGCUGAAAAGUCCCCAACCUCAGAGGAGGCCAGUUCCUGCCUCAAGCCGGGGGAUAAACCGUGGUUGCUCAGAAACAGCCAUGGGGCUCCCUUUCCAUGCCAGUAGGUUAGGCCGUGUGUGCCUGUGUGCCCAACUCUUGCCAUAAAGUGUAGGAGAAACUUGGCCAGGGGAUGCUAUGGAAAAUAUUUUUCCCAGAUGAAAAGGAGUAUCUUCCCAGAGAGAAAGCUUCCUUCUGCACCUGUCUCCUACCUUUCUCCUUCAGAUGUUGCUGUUUGGAGCUGAGGCAGCCGUCCUGUGACCAUCUGUCAACAAAGGAGGCGCGGCUGGGCUCGCAGGCUGUGUCCCUGCUGGCCUGAGAAUGAGUGGGGCCUCCGGAAACCUCGCCCCUUCCCAGCACUGUCUACACAGCAGGGUGUUCUGAGAGAAGUCCAGCCUCUGCUUUCGACCUCUCUACCCUAUUUCCACCACCCCCUUUUCCAGGUUAUCUGCAGAGAAAAACCGAGUGGCACGCCAGCGGGAUCCUUGGAAUGGCAGCGGAUCCCCUGCACGGGUACAUCCACUGCUUGCUGUCAGGAGCCGAGGUCCGGGUGCUCCAGGGCCUGCAGGCCCUUCGGAGCAGGAAUCUGACUCCCUCCUGGGGUCUCAAGGACGCCUUGGCCGGGCGAUGGGCCUCCCCCACGCAUUGUGUCCAGGAGGUUCUGUUCAGAGCGUGUGCUUCGAAGCUCACGCUGAGGCUAAGGUGAUGAAUCCGCUUAUUUCUAGGGCCCUGCUGGGGGAGAACGAGGCCCCUUCCCGGGUGUCAGGGAAUGCAAGCCUUCACAGCUGACACCACAGUGCCUUCGAGAUGGAAUCAGCGUCCCAGUGUGGGUGCCCAGGGGAUUGUGGGCCGGGGGAUGAGGGAGUGGAGGACCCCAGGACCUGGAGGAACCGUUCUCAGCUGGGUCCUGAAGUCUCUGCAGAGUUGGUCAGGUGGAGGACAGGAUUCCAGGUGGAAGAGGAUGGUACAAGCCGAGGCAACGGGCUGAGAAAACACAUGGCGUGAAAGGAGCAGGAGACAUUUCUGGAAAGAGAAAAUGCAAGCAGGGAAGUUCCUGCUGAACCCACGGCCUCGCUGGCCGCACUGAGAGCGUCUGGUCCACAGUGGCAGGAGAGACAAACGAUUGUAGGAGAAAAAUCUGGGUUUUUUUAAUUGUGUUAUUUUUUUACAUUAAAAUUACUGGGAGAGAAAAGUAAUGGAUAUCCUUUAAAAUAUUGGGAAAAAUACAGAAAAGUACAUAAAGAAAGUUACUCAUGCUUAUGUCACUUUUGAGCUCCCUCAAGUCCCCAGGCAUUAGACGGGGAAGAGGAGGGGCGAGGCCACAGAGCAGGGAGAGCAUUGAAAAUACCCACAAUGAGGGUGCACGACCAACCAUUGACCUAUGGGCCCUUGUCAGAGCUUCGCCUCCUGAAGCUAAUUGUUCAUCCAAGUGAUUCUGUCAAAAUUAUAUGCUGUUAGCAAAUAAAAAUGAUUCAUAAACAUGUAUGAGCACCCCAAAUCCUGCACUUUCUACUAAGAAACAAGUCCGGCCAAUUCUCUCUCUACUUCUGACAUGGUGAGAGGUGUCAGAAAGUGACGGGGUGAGUUUGACAUUAGAAAUGGAGGGCAAAUAGGAGAAGAACUGACAAACUGGAGGUGCCCCUUCUUUCUCUGGUCAUUGGCCCGUGCACGGAGCUUAGCCCUGAGAAAAGACUGAUCCCCAGUGAUUUUCCUUUCGUGUCUUCACUAACAACACGGAGACUAUUCAUGAGAUUAGACUGCUGUCAGAGCAAACUGGCAUGUUCAGUAUCUGCGAAUUCUCAGAGAAUAGAUACUAAGUGUAAUGCAUCAUUUUCAUUUCUCUGGAAAAUAAAGAUAUUAGCAAAGAAUGACCUGGUGCAUGCAGCUGCAGUUUCUCCACUCCAGCAAGUG